UGCCAGGAAAGUUCAGAGAACCCACAGAGGGAGCCCUGGAGCAUCUGAGUCACUGUGAUUCUCACUUUCCCUGGGUUUCUGUGUUCCCUGCUUUUCCCCCAAACUGGAGUGUUUUCUCCUUAUGGUCGCUCACCUGCUUUCCAAUUUCAGGUCUUAAGCAGGUGUGUGUAAUUUUACCCAAGGUUUUCUCCAAACAGAAUCUGCUCCUAAUCUGUGACUUGGCCAACUUUGUGUUUCCUUUUCACUGGCUUUUGAAGAACGCUGGGACUCAAAGAAUGAAAGUAGGAUAUUCAGAUGAGGAACAGGGUAGCGAGCCACCGGAGAGAGUUCACAUGAAUAUUUUAGGCAUUUUUCAGAAGGAACCAUCUUGCUUUUACCAUUGGUGAGGACUAUUUCAAUUUCCAUUCACCUUGGGCAUCUGGGCAAGUGAUUAUCUGCAAAGUCAGAUACCUGUGUGGAAAACCUCAUUUAACAACGGACACAGCAGAACACAAUCUAAGGACUCCAGGAAGCCCACUGAGGUUAUGGUAGAAGUGGAGGGCUGAGUGGAAAUCACAAGGUCCAGGGAAGAAGAGGAGCCCAUUCUCAGGUGAUCUAAGUUCAUAAGAGGUCAGUCAGCCAGGUUAUGUGACCAAAGAUUACAAUCCCAACCUCAGUCGAAAGCUCUGGAAACGUGGGCUUGCAGGAGAGAGCAAGGAGGCAAGGUCAUCACCACUGGAGAAACAAACCAUGCAAGACACAGACUCUGCUAAUGAAAACGAUGCUCGCCUACAAAGAGCUUCAUGAUUUUUAAUU
ensembl:lncRNA